rnacentral:rRNA from 1 species
GACGAACGCUGGCGGCGUGCUUAACACAUGCAAGUCGAACGGAAAGGCCCUGCUUUUGUGGGGUGCUCGAGUGGCGAACGGGUGAGUAACACGUGAGUAACCUGCCCUUGACUUUGGGAUAACUUCAGGAAACUGGGGCUAAUACCGGAUAGGAGCUCCUGCUGCAUGGUGGGGGUUGGAAAGUUUCGGCGGUUGGGGAUGGACGCGCGGCUUAUCAGCUGUUUGGUGGGGUAGUGGCUUACCAAGGCUCUGACGGGUAGCCCGCCUGAGAGGGUGACCGGCCACAUUGGGACUGAGAUACGGCCCAGAGUCCUACGGGAGGCAGCAGUGGAGAAUAUUGCACGAUGGGCGGAAGCCUGAUGCAGCAACGCCGCGUGCGGGAUGACGGCCUUCGGGUUGUAAACCGCUUUCGCCUGUGACGAAGCGUGAGUGACGGUAAUGGGUAAAGAAGCACCGGCUAACUACGUG